rnacentral:rRNA from 1 species
GGUUGAUCCUGCCAGUAGUCAUAUGCUUGUCUCAAAGAUUAAGCCAUGCAUGUCUCAGUACAAGCCGUGUUUACACGGCGAGACCGCGGACGGCUCAUUAAAUCAGUUGUGGUCCAAAUGGGCUAGUGUUAUCUUACUUGGAUAACUGUGGUAAUUCCAGAGCUAAUACAUGCAACUCAAUACCCCGAUGGCCUCUCUCUUGCAGGGAGCGUCUUGACGGGUGCUUUUAUUAGACCAAACCGCUGAGGGUGUGUGUGUGUGCGUGCGUUCCCCCGUGGGCGCACAAAACACAUGCGCACACGCCUGACUCGUUCAAUGGUGACUCUGAAUAACCUCUUGUUGACAAGCGCACGUACCCCUCUUUUGAGCGGGACGGCGCUGCCACUUUCGAGUGUCUGCCUUAUCAGCUAUCAACCGUUCGUUACGUGCGACCGAUGGCUUUGAAGGGUGACGGGGAAUCAGGGUUCGAUUCCGGAGAGGCAGCCUGAGAGACGGCUACCACGUCCAAGGACGGCAGCAGGCACGCAAAUUACCCAAUCCCAGCAACUGGGGGAGGUAGUGACGAAAUCUAACGAUGCGGGCGCCCUUUCUAGGGCCCCGCAAUCGGAAUGAGCACUUUCUAAACAACCUGUUGAGAACCUACUGAAGGGCAGUCUGGUGCCAGCAGCCNCGGUAAUUCCAGCUUCAGCAGCAUCAUAUUAAAGUUGCUGCGGUUAAGGCUCGCAGUUGANNNAGUGCCAGCGCAGGUCAGGUGGACGCUGGGGCGUGGGACCUCAACGCGGCACGGACGACGCUUACGCAUGCACAUGCGCUUUGCCGUCGCACCGGCCGUGUCUCACAAGCCCCCGUCCGUGACAAGCCUCCUCGCUUGCGUACAUAACGAGAUGUGUUUCGGAGGCUUGCGUUUGCCUGGGUUCUUCCCUGCCUCCUCCUCUUUCUUUUCUUUUGCCCCCUGCCUUUCCCGGCCGUUGGGGUUCUGCCCCUCGGCGUCUCUGUGGGAGGCGGUGGGAAGGGAGAGAAUGGAGUGUUGGGGUUGUUGGGGUUGGCCUGCAAAGGCGCGCAAUAAAAUCACCUCCAUGGUUUCAAAGUCACCUUGAGUAAAUCAGAGUGCUCAAAGCAGUCGUAGGGGCCUUGCGCCCUGUGAACAGUCUUGACGGACUGACUGGUUUUGCAUGGCAUGUCGGAAAACGACGUCGUGGGCUGGCUCAGAGUGUACAAUCAGUGGUGCAAGCCAGCCUCGACGUAAUGAUUAACAGGGACGGUCGAGGGCAUUGGUAUUGCGAGGCGAGAGGUGAAAUUCUAUGACCCCCGCAAGACCUCUGAAGCGAAAGCGUCUGCCAGGGACGUUUUCAUUAAUCAUGAACGAAAGUUAGAGGAUCGAAGGCGAUCAGAUACCGCCCUAGUUCUAACCNUAAACGAUGCCAACCAUCAAUCCGCGCGUAGCACCCUUCUUAACGGGCUCGGCGGGCAGCUCCUCACCCACGGGAAACCAGAGUCUUUGGGUUCCGGGGGGAGUCUGGUUGCAAAGCUGAAACUUAAAGGAAUUGACGGAAAGGCACCACCAGGCGUGGAGCCUGCGGCUUAAUUUGACUCAACACGGGCCAUCUCACCAGGCCAGCACUCUUGAACGAUUGACAGAUUGAGAGCUCUUUCUCGAUUCAGUGGAUGGUGGUGCAUGGCCGUUCUUAGUUGGUGGAGUGAUCUGUCUGGUUAAUUCCGAUAACGAACGAGACUCUCCCCUGCUAACUAGUCGGUUGGAUCUUGCUCUGCGAGUAGUGUACCGGGUGUCGGUGUGCGUGGAGCCGGUCUUUUUGGAGGCGUGUCACCGCGCUCGGGGCCAAAGGUGUGUUCUCUCUGGACACCCUUCCCGUGGCGUGUGAGUGUGCCCUUCAGCCUCUCCUUCACACACGGCCCGGACCGCACACUCCAAGUCCGCCGCNUAUGCUAUAAAACUCUUCUUAGAGGGAUUCACGGUUCUGAAGCCGUAAGAGACCGAGAGCAAUAACAGGUCUGUUAUGCCCUUAGAUGCUCUGGGCCGCACGCGCGCUACAAUGCCGGGCACAGCAGGUCUUCCUCCUACUCCGACAGGAGCGGGUAACCCUCUGAAAGCCCUCGAUGAUUACUCUCGUGUCUGACACGAAUGGCGUGCUUGGGCCUGGGGCUUGCAAUUCUUUCCCACUAACGAGGAAUGCCUAGUAGCGGCGAGCCACUGAGCUCGCCGUGACUCAGUCCCUGCCCUUUGUACACACCGCCCGUCGCUACUACCGAUUGGGUGUACCAGUGAGAGCCUUGGACUGGCGUCCGCUGCCUUCUAGCAAGCGGGUCCGACGGAAAGAGGUCCGAACUGGUGCACUUAGAGGAAGUAAAAGUCGUAACAAGGUUUCCGUAGGUGA